rnacentral:lncRNA from 1 species
UUUCAAGAAUACACAUAUACUUUUUGAUAGUUGGUUUAACUAGAUUAUUUUGUUAAGGAAAUUUUAUCUUCCUCAUCACUUUUGAAAACAUUAUCUUCCAUGUUGCUCAUGAAAACAUUAUCUUCCUUGUCAUUUUUAGAAACUGCAUCUUCUCCAUCAAUUUUGGAAACUUGAUCUCCCUCAUCAUUUUUGGAAACUUUAUCUUCUUCAUUACUCUUGGAAACUCCAUCUUCUUCACCACUUUUGGAAGCUUUAUAUUCCCUAUCACUUAAGGAAACGUUAUCUUCUUCGUCAAUUUCCGAAAAUUUAUUUCCCUCAUCACAUAAGUGUUUUAGAAAUUUUCUGCUAUUAGGAAUAGUUUCAGCACACUUCUUCUUGAUCAGAUUUCCACGGAAAGUCAUCCAAUCACAUGCUGGAAUCAUCACUUUAUGCAUCUUGCCUACAAUUAUUGAUGAAAGGUAAAAAUGGAGCAUUAUGUCAUAGAAAUAUAAAAUGCAAAAAUAGUGUUAAUGUCUUACCACUAUUUUUAUCAUGGUGAAUCAUUUCAUUAACAGCUUCUACGGUCUCUAGAGCUUCAAAUGGAAUUUCCUUGGGGCCAUUUGGACGUGGAUCGUCUUCAUUAACCACACCUAUUUGUUAAUUUGUAGUUGCUUGUUGAUGUAAAACAAUUUACAAUAAAAUGUAUAUAUAUCAAAAAAAUAACAAUUUGUAGUUGCUUGUUAAUUUGUUAAUCCUCCGUUUUUUUAAGGGAAAUGAGUGUUGGCUAUAUGUAGAUCGGUUGGGAGGUAAGUAAUGUUUAACCAAGAAUUAUUUUAUGCAAAAAUUAAAUUUAAGUUCUUCUAAAAUAUUCGUCCAUGUUGAAACUCAUUGACUACUUGAGUCCAAUUUAUUAGUUAUGUAUAUAUACAAAUUAAUGAUAGACUUGUCUACAUUUCUAAAUGAGCAUUUAUUUUAUUUUUAUUUAAAUGUUGACUAGAAAAUCACACAUAUAUGCGUGACUUAUUGAUUUAUGAGAGUUCGUUUAGAUCAAUGAGGCAAAAUGGUUUCAGCUAAUAUGAUAUCGUUAACUCCAAAUCACCAAGUUUCGAGAUUGGUUCAUCGCGUAAUGGGUUGCAUAAACCUAGUUUACAAUCAUCUCUUUAGCGUAUCUUGUGCUUUGGGAUCUUUUUUUUUAUCUAUUAAAUAAAAUUUUCUUUUUUACUUCUUAAAAAAAUAUAACAAAAUUGUGAUGUUUCUAUGGUUGAGAAAGACACUGUUUUGUUUUCAAUUAUUUAGAGCGCAAAUGCUGAUAGGAAAACUUGCCAGAUUGAAUUUGGGGGUGCAUUGAUAAUGUGGUAGGCCGGAAAAGGAAGGCAUGAAAGAUAAUAAUUAUGCUAACAAAAUACUUUCUCUUAAAAAUCCUGUUCAGCCUAAUGCAACCCCACAAAACUGGUUUGUGAGGUGAAUAUUGUCCCUCACGACCAGCACUAUUGGGCUUGGUUCGUGGGCAUAAAGACAAUUAUUGUUUUGACAUUCAACAUGUCUUAGAAACACAAGUAAAUGACCAAAAAACCUAGCGUCAGUUAACUGCUGCCGGUUUUCUAGCUAUCAAGCCAGCGGUAGUUAACUACCGCUGAGAGUAUUUUCGUACUUUACUUGUGUUUUUAGGAAGUUUUAAAUGUCAAAAAAGCAAUUGUUGGACAUAAAUGAUGGGUAGUCCGAUAGCGGAAACCUGAUAGCAGGUGACCCAAUGGAUCUUGAACCAGGCUCUGAUACCAUCUUAAUCUUAGAAAUCGUGUUUGAGCUUAACACAAUCCUACAAAACCGGCUUGUGAGGUGUGGAUUGCCCCCACUUAUAAUUAUAUUGUCAGACCAUCAGCUAUCCGAUGUGGCACUCUUAAUGCUUUCUAAGACACUAUUUUUAUGAUAGAAAUUCAUGUGGAUCACUCUAAAUAUAUAGGGUUUACAUCAUUUAGCGAAACCGUUUACAUUUUAGUUAAUAGGAGUGUGUUUGAAAGACUGCUAAAAAUGGUAUUGCAAGCACUUUUCAAAAGAUGAUGAACGGGGACAAUAUGAAACAAUCAAAGAGUUCAUAUUUGACUUUUAAAAGCUCAAAGUUACAUUUUGUUUUGAUAGAUAGCUUUUUUAAAAUUUUGUUGUGUCAUAUACACUAAUUUAUUUUAUCAAAAUUAAACUAUACGCUAGAAUGACUCACCAAGAAUAGGAGGUGGAGGCAACGGCGAUUGAGCUAAAACUUGAUAAGAGAGAACAACAAAAAGACCAACAAACACAUACACCUUUGAGUUAGCCAUGCCACUUCUUGGCAACGACAAUGCAAUAAUGUUUGAUAAAGAAUAAUGAAGUAGUCUCUAUAUAUAGGGAAAGAACAUGCUUUAUUGAUGGGGCCAAGAGUCAAGGUUUAUAUUUUAAAUUAAGCAAAAUAAGUGGCAAAAGCAAUCUCUGAAUGAGAUGUAAAUAUCUAUAUGGAAAUUGAAAUUGGAAACGCAACCCUAAAAACCUUUCGAUACUCUUCUUACAUGCCCAUUUAGAUCUCAUUUUAAAAAAUUGCUUCUUGUAGUUGUCUAAUUAAGCCUUUUAAAUAUACUCAAAAUUUUAUUUUAAGGUGUUCUAAAUCCUCACAAAAUUGUCGGAAUCCCUUCUUAGAUUUCAUUGUAUUUAGAUGUGAUGCAGUAACCUUUGCUCAUUUGACAUUGUACUCGAGUUAUACAACAUAUUGUCUCUGAUAAAUGAAUUAGCAUUCACAUUAUUACAUAUUUGAUUUAUGUCAUAAAGUUUCUAAAAAGUUUUAUGUUGCCUCUCGAUUGCCUAACACGACAUUCUCUUUUUAUCCAGACUUGAGCAUUUCAUUGGAAUAUAUCCAUAUGACAUCCACCCCGGUUAUUCCGUCGACAUGUCAUGCGCUUCACAGUUCAUUCGCAACAAGUUAUCAGACUAUAAAACCUACUUUGAUUGUCUAGGUUAGACGACAUGAUCUUCAACCCAUAUAAUGAUCAUCGUUGGAGGCUCCAUUCGAUAAUAUUUGUUAGUAUUUUAUGUUGGAUAAAGUGCUUAGGCAGUAUGGUCGUACAUAGACCAUUCUAAUGAAUCUUUCCAUCGUACUAGCAAUUUAGGGGUGUAUGUGGGUUGUGUCAACCAAAAAAAUUGAUCGAACCCAACCAAAAAAAAAAAAACUCAGAAAUGUGGGUUGGGCUGGGUAAUUGGGUGGGUAUUGUUUAAAAAAAAUGAAAAUUCCAUAAAAAAUAACGGGUUUCAGGUAAAACCAUACCCAAACCCAAAUAACUCACUUACCCAACAAUGCCAACAUUUUUAUUUUUAUUUUCACAUGGAAGAAGAAGAAGAAUACCAAAUGUUUUGGUCAUAAAUCAAGUCUACUUUCGAAAAUUAACACAAGACAACCUCUAUAUCAAAAAUCAAAACAUGCUAAAGUUACAAAUUAGUAUGUUGCACUUUUUGAUUAAUUUGAUACUAAUGCAAUUUUAUGUCAUGCAACUUUAUUUUGUCACAAGUAAUUUAUGAUGAAACUUAUUAUUUGACAUUAUCAUUUGUUAUUUUAUGACGCUAAAAUAUAAUGAAAAUAUGUUGCACAAUUUUUUUAAGAAAAUAAAAAAGUUGAGGAAUUUUUAUGGAAAAAAUACAAGGACUCACCAUUUAGUCAUUUAAUAUUAUUAACAGAAAAAGAGAAACAUAAUUUGGGAACCCACUACUCAAUCGAACUCAAAUCGAAAAUGAGUGGGUUUGCCCAAAGUACUGAUCCAAUAGUGCAACGAGUGGUUACUUUACCUCUCCUAAAACAAAGUAACUUAUAAGAUUUCGGUCUUGGGUUUGACCAAACCCAACUCAAAUAGACUCACAUACACACCUACUAUUAAUGUCUUCCAAGUAGAUCAGACUUUCCAAGAUUAUUUGAUGCAAGUUAUAUUCUUGGUGAACGUAACCAGUGGUAGCACAUAUCAGGUCACAUUUCUUGGUUCUAUAGGGUAUCUCAUCCGAAAGUGGUGCCCUCAAUCUAGGGAGAACCACCUUGGCCAACAAAUGUUGAGGUUGUAAUAUAUGAGGAGUAUGGGAUAGAUACUAUGGAUACAUUCCAGCAGAUCAUGAGUGUUAGGACCAUUGCCUUAGGUGAUAUGCCAAAUGGUAGCUCAUAUGAUGACCUAUAUGUGUAUCUUGAACUGUUUCCAAAUAAAACAUUGUCGGACACUCAAAUAUCAAGUUGAACGAAGAAGUAGGACUUUCUGAUGAUUAUUUUUACAUUUUAAUUUUUUUUGGUAUCACCUAAAUGAUGAAUGUAAUUGGUAUUGUAAUACCUAAGAAAAUAUUUUUCCCUUUGGAAUAGAUUACUUACAAAUUUAUGCAAUUUGAAUGAUAAUUUCAUUUUAAAUGUUGCAUGAGUGUUUAAAAGUUUUUAUGUGUGCGCCCAAUUGCUAAUCAAGUUAAUUCUGUGGUUGAUUGUUUGUACUGUUCAUGUAUGAAUGAGUGCUUGACAGUGUAUAAGUUUGGGUGCCGUUUAAUUUGGGAAAUGAGACUUUUUUCCUACCAUGGGAAAGGUAUUUUAAACCAUUAGAUUAAAAGGGAACAUUGAUCUUACUAUAGACUGUCCACACUAUAUGUUUUUUUCUCACUGUCAUCAACCUCUGAAUGUUAUUGACCCGCGUAGCUUUCUGUUUCCAUUCCUGAAAUCAUUGUUUUCCUUUCUUAUUUGAUAUGUCUGGUUUUUCAAACCAGAAGCUACUUAAGGAUUGAUAAGAAAAACAUUAAGAUCUACUUAAAGAUUGCUAACUCGUUCAAUGACCACCAAAUAAAUAUCCUGAUUAGACUUCUAAAUAGACAUAGAACAAGCUUGGAUUGGUGAAUGUUAUUGCUACAUGAUGAAUCACAUUACCUGAGUAAAAAAAAUAUUUGGAUAUUUGUUUGUUUGCAUAUAUGAAUACGUUUAAACAUGCUAAAUGCAGAAGUAUCCAACAAAUAUAUUAAUAAUUUUAAGGUUAAAAAGGGUAGUAUUUGUGAAUGAUGUGGAGUCCAGAUGUAGCUCAAAUAAUAAUCAUCUGGAGCAUAAAAGAUUUAGGCUGAAAUCAAUUGUUUAAUGGUGGUUCUUGGAGUCGGUUUUGGUGGUGGGUCUAUUGGUGUCUCAUGAGAGGUUGAAGACAAUGAGAAGAAAGAUAUAGUAUGGACAGCCUAUGAUGAAAUCAAUGUUCCAUUUUAAUCUAAUGAUUUAAAAAAACUUUUUCAUGAUGAAAAAAAAGUCUCCUUUCCCAAAUUAAACGGCACCAUAAGUUUGUGUGCCUGAUUUGGCCAAUUCUUAGUCUCUGCUAUUGUGUUUGCGAUUCUUCAUGCGAAUACAUCCCAACUACUGUUUAUGUGAAUGAUAGUUGAUUGUCGUUUAUGGAAAAAUUUCAAACUACUUUUCAGCAGCGAACAGUAGUUAAUCACUUCUUGGUAGUUUGAGGUUCAUGUGGAAAAUUUUUUAGGCACUUCUAGGUGCCUAAAGAGCAUUAUUCUUACUUGUUUGCAAGAUGAUGGACAUCAUAGAGAAGUGCCUAAAUUUGUGAUUAAGAUUUAAUAAAUUAUACAUAUAUUUUUCUUACAAAAAUUUAUUUAUUAUGUAUUUUUUAUUUAUAUAUAUGAUUCAAAAAGCACCGCAUUGCGGUGUUUGGUAAUCAAGAGUUCUUAGCUCAUACUCUUUUAGACAUGGUAAAACUUAUAGAUUGGUCAUUGAUCAAGUCGAAAGCUAAAAAAAAUUUGGAAAAUGUUAAUGAGUGUCCUAAGGGCACUCUUUAAGGAUUUUAAAUAGUAAAUUUUUAUGGAAAAUUAUGCAUUCAAUGCAUCGGAAUUUAAAGUGUUAAACUUUUUCAAUGAAUAAUUUCUUAAUUGAGAAACAAAAGUGCCCUGAAGAGACUCGUUAACAAAACCCAAAAAAUUUAUAUGUUUCUGUCAAUGAAGUACUCGAUCAUUCAUAUGUUUAGGAGUGGUUUUUGCUGUAACUUAAUUCUAAAUUAUUUUUGUUGCUUGAUUUGGAGACAAUAUUGUCUUUUUGGCAUUUUGAUGACAAAUCAACAUAUGAUAUUUUAUGAUGUUUUUAGUUAUUUUAUUUGCAUUUUAAGAAAAUUUAAAAGUCGUGUAGAGGAGUUGUUAAUGGUUUGAGGGACAUUUUCUAUUGUUUUUGUUCAAGUUAUUGUAAUUCAAUUUCUUCCCUAGUCAUGCAACUACAUAGGUAUUUUGAGUCUUUUUUAUUGAUAAACCAUGUAAUUCAGCAAAACAAGACACCAAGUUGAGGAUUAAGGGAUAUGAAGAAUGAUGAUCAAAGUUACUUAGAAGGAUUUUGAAGAUAAUACAAGUUGGGAAAAAAUUAUCCCAAGUUCCAAGACAUUUUUAGAUGGUAGAAUGCUCGAAAAAAGAAUGAAAAAUUGUAAAAUUCGCCCCCUAGAGGUUGUCCAAUGCGCAUGGAACACGACCAUAUGCGCAUGACACAACCCCGUGGGCUGACUAAUGCACUCUUGCGCUUUCUGAUAGGUAAAAUACACAUUCAGCUUGUUUUCCAAAGAAAAGAGCCCAUAAAUUCUAACUUAACCUAGAAUUAAAGUUGUCUAUAAAUAAAGACCUUUACACACACUUAUAUUGAUUUAGAAAGUUGGUGGUACAAGACAUGGGUCAAGUAUCUGGACCAUCAAGGCAGGGUUUCUUCCUUCAUUUCUACUCUAAUACUUUUGUGUAACAUUUUCUUUCAAUUUUACCCUUAAUUUCAACUUUCUAUUUACCAUUUUAUUCUUACCUUAAAAAUAAAUAACUUAAUGUUAAGGAAAUUAAAAAUACUAGUUUUGCAUUGGAAAUUAUAACUUUUUGACUUUUAGAAAAUUGAAUUCAACACUUUUCACCACUUUUCAACAAAUUAUUUCUAUUUAUGUUAUCUUAACCAAUGCCCAAAGACACUCUUUAACAUUUUCCUUUUUAUGAAUAAAAGAAGAAAGAUGGGGAUGCAAGUCUUUUAUAAAGUAAAUAGGUUUAUUGGGAAUACAAGGUGUUUUCCAACUUAAUACAAUCACGCAACUUAAAAUAAAGUCCCUCAAAUCCUUAUACUAGCCCUAAAUUCAACCUACAUCAUAAAUCAAACAUAGGGUUUCUUUUAUUACAAACCAACUCAUCACAAGGCUCUAAGUAGAAACACUGUAGCAAAAAUAUUGAAUUUAAAAAUAAAAAAAAAACGAAUUCAAAAGAACUCAAUAGUUUUAUGAAAUAAUAUGGUUCAAACUGUCUCCAAAUACCCAAUUUAAACUCAGAUAUUUAAAUUCUAGGAUUUCUAAUGCCUAUAACAAAUACAACCUCCUUUAAAAAUAAUUUCCCAAGACGUGAAUAUUUUUCUCACAACAUCCUUCAUUUUUCAGCAUUUUCAAAAGCCACUUAGUUUAUUCAAACUCCAACACAUCUGUUUUUUUAAUAAAAAAUAAUCCCUCCUGUAAAAGGUUGUCAAAAGGUUUGAUGCAUUUUGAACCCUUUUUAACAAAAAAAUAAUAUCCCUGCCUCUAAGUGGUUGUCAAAGAUUUGUUUCAUUUUCAAACUCUAAAGGGUUCCUUCUAAUUUUUUAAAGAAACAACUUCAAAAAUAGAAGCAACAAGUCUUUUUCUUUAUUUUCCAAGACUUCAAAAAUCUAAUCAAUUUAUAGACUUAUCAAAAAAUUACUCAUUGAGUUCCUUUGAAGAUAAUUUUUUUAAUCCAAGUUACAAAAACAGAUAGGGCCAUUCUUAAGAGACGGGAAAACACAAUAAGAGAGGGUUUGAAUUGUGUUAAUAAUUUUUUAUUUUUUAUUUUACUGUUUUCUUUAUCAAAAUACUUUCCUUCGUUUUAUUUAAGAUUUUAAAUAGAAGGGUUAAUAGAGAGAAGACAUAAAUAACAAUAAUAAAUGAAGACAAUAGCUAGGAUAGAGAAAAAACAUUUGGAUUUUUAUACUAUUUCACAACAACUCUUGCCACAUCUAGUUAUUCCCUUACGGAUAUGUGACGUUUUUCAAACCUUGGCAAAAAAAAGCUUUUAAUCAUUCCUUUUUGUAUUUGUUGUUUCUAUAACCUUUGAUUAUGUAUUUUGCUACUAUGAGUAGCUAAAAAGUUUAUAUUAAUAUCGAAUGAUGAACCUAUAUGCUAUUUUUUAAUCAUGUAAUCUAUGAUGUCCUCUUUUAAUGCAAUUUGAACUAUGUUUAUUCAUUAUACCUUGUAAUUAAUGAUUUUCACUUCAUGGUCAUCUUUGAAUCGAUUAUAAGUUAUAGUUAUCUAAUAACCCAAGGUUUUGUAAUUGGAACUAGGUGUAGUGUUCUCUGAUUAAUUUCUCUAGACAUAGGGAAUUGAUUAUAUAUUGUGGCUAUAGUUUAACGUUCAACAAAUCUUUUGAUAAUAUGAGUUUCACAUAAGAUAUUAAUUACUCCCUCCAUCCUAAAUUGUAUGAUAUUUUUGGCAUUUCACACAUAUUAAGAAAUAUAAUUAAUAUUGUGUGGGAAAGAGAUAUUAUGAGUUGUUUUACAAAAUUGUCUUUAAUAAAUUAUAAGCUUAAUUGCUAUUUUCGUCCCUUAACUAAUUUUUUAGUAUCGCUUUGGUUCCAUAAUUAAUAAAAAGUCCGUUUGAGUCCCUUUAAAUAUGUCUCUGUUACAUAAAUUGGUCCCUUCCGUUAAUUUUAUUAAAAAAACGUUAACUCAAGCACACGUGUCAUUUUUGCAUUGGUUGGAAUUUAUAUUCAUCUUCUUCCUCCUCGCCUUCAUCUUCUUCAACAAAUCUUCAUCCACCUUCAUACAAACCCAGAAAGAAAGAAAAAAAAACUUAAACAACAAAAUUCAUCAAAAAAAACUUUACCUUUACCUUCAAAAACAAAACCAAUUUUCAUGCUACCCACAUAAAAAAUCAUGAAAAAAACCUAGAAUUGAUUCACAUCAAGUUAUUCAAGCAUCUUCACAAUUGUUUUUCAACAUGUUCAUAAUUACAAUCAAUUUUUAUCAUUUCUUUUCAAACAAAAUUCUCUAACUGAUAAUUUCAAAAGAAGUGCUUAGAGACCCAAACUCACUCCAUCCAAAAUUUCCCCAAUCGAAAAUUGAUUUCAGAAUCAUCAUCUAUCAGAGAAAGCCAAAUUGAGUUCAUACCAUAAAUUUUCCCUCUGGAGCCUCCAAAGUCAUUAUUGAUUCUCGUUCCCUCCCAUCUAAUCCAAUUGCUUUCAUCAUUUUCCCCCUAAGGAUUCAAUUUGUUUUAGAUUUGGUUUGGCUAUUUCACGCAAGAGGUGAAGGAAAUGGUGGGUUUCGCAGAGAGUGAAAUAGAGGAAUGGGUAUCAGAUUGGGUUGUUGUUAUUCUUUGUUGUUGUUCACUACUAAAAAAACUAAAUUUAGUGAGGGAAAACGUAAAAUUCCUCUCUAAUUCCGUCACUAAAUUUUGCGACCAAGGAAUUUGUGAGGAAUUUCAUUUUUUCCGUCACUAAUUUCCCUCGCUAAUUUUUCUUUUUCUAGUAGUGGUUGCUGGAUUGUUGUUGUUGUUGUAGGUUGUUAUUGUUGGGUUCUUAUUGUUGUUGUUUGUUCUUGCUGCUGGGUUUUGUUUUUGUUGUUGUUGAUGGUGUUUUUCCUAUUUGCCAGAAAUUGAUGAACCCUAAAAACGUUUUGUUUUCCUAUUGGGUACUGAAAAUGGGUUUUGUUUUUGAAGGAAUAAUGGUAAUGGGUUUAGAUCAGAAAAUGAGUUUUUGUGAAGGAUUGGUGAUAAUGAUUGAAUUUGAAAAUGAGUUUAUUUUUUUCCUCCAGAAAAUAGAGCUUUUUUGUUUCAAUGCUUAAGAAUCAAUUUGUUUUCUUCCAAUUUUAAUUUCAAGGUUCGAUUUUUUUUUUUCUUCAGUUUUUUAAUUUGCUGUUUUUUUUUUUUUUUAUGAAGGUGGAUGAGGAAGAAGAUGAAGAAGUUGAAUUAAGGUGAUGACUUGUACAAACCCUAACAGUUUUUUAAUAAAAUUAACGGAAGGGACUAAGUUAUGUAACAGAGACAUAUUUAAAGGACUCAAACAGACUUUUUAUUAAUUAUGGGACCAAAGCGAUACCAAAAAAUUAGUUAAGGGAUGAAAAUAGUAAUUAAGCUUAAAAUGAAAAAGAUAAAAGAAAGAAUUGAAGGAAGAGAGAGUAAUAAAUAGUUAAGAAUAUAACGGGAAAAAUAACAUUAAUGUUUCAUUGGUAUGGUAAAACGACAUAUAAUUUGAAACAAUUUUUUUUUCUUCCUAAAGCGAUAUACAAUUUGGAAUGGAGAGAGUAGUGUUUUAUAUAUAAAUGGGACCUAAGCCAGGAAAUUAGUCUUGGUCUAUUUUUCUAAACACUUUAAACAUAGGUAUCAAAUUGCUACGAAUUUAGGAUUUAAUAUUACCAAACAAGAACUUAGAGGCGGUUCGGAAAAUCCUAAUCGCCUUUCAACAUUAUGAUCCAAGUCUUUCAAUUUUUAAUUUUUUUUUGACAAAAGAGUAGGUAGCAAAGUGCUAACCUACCAAAAUAUAUUAAGAUGAAAGAGAUGAAACAAUACAAGAUGUAGAGGACCAAGCCAAAACUCCAAUCAAAAAGUAAUAAAUCUAAAGGAUGGCAUCCCUAACUGAUUUUUAAUAAGAUUAGCCCUAAUAAAGCUAGGCAUAUCAUCCCAAAAUGUUAGGGUUUGCAAAGAUAUCCCAUAAUUUGCCAAAGUGUCUGCUACAUCAUUGCCUUCUCUAUAUAUGUGGUGACCAAGAUAAAUCACAAAAUUUCCGCACAUCUUCUAAACAAGAGAAGUUAAGAGAUAAAUUAAGACAAGAUGCUAACCAAGAUCAGAUUCUGAUGGAGUAUUCACAGUUGAAGAACAAAUGGAAUGAGGAUUCUUCAUGUUUGUAACAUAAAUUACAAAUAGAGGGAAAGCUGCAGCCUCUUUGUUUCAAGUUCUCAUCUGUUGGCACUUUGUUGUGCUUCAAUCUCCAAAUGAACAUGGAUUUUGAAGGUGGGAUAUCUACACUCCAUAUCGUUUUGGCCCAAUGAAGCUCUUGAAAUUGAUGAUGUUUGAAAUUAUAUGCCUCCUUGAGACAUAAUUCACCAGAUUGGUCAUGCUUCCAUUGCAAGCUAUCAGGUUGUUCCUCCGCAGGAAUAAUUACUUGUUGAGCCAAAUGCAUUGAGUUGGGGAAAAUUAUGAUUUUUUUCUAGAUUAAUUACGCAAUUUAUUUUGUCUUUCAUGCCAAAAAAACAAAAUAGUCACUUUUUUCUCUUUUUUCAGAUAUGCAUUGUUAAUGACGUAUUUUUUGUUGUUGUUUAGUGCAUGUCAAUUUCAUGGAAAGGUAUUCAAUGUAUUCAAUCAAUCUUUAUUCUAAUUUCUAAUAUAUACCUACCAUUCGGAGUGGAAGUGAUGACAGGAAAUCAUAGAGUUUAAUUUAUAGUGCAAUCUUAGAGUUAAAGCAGUUAGUUUGAAUGUAUUUUAUUCUAGUUUUGAAUGGGAUUCGUUCAAAAGUCAUGAAAAGACAAAAGCAGAAAAAUAACUUUGAAACCAUGGAAAUCCACUGAACCAUACAACUUUACGACAAUGCUAUGCUUUUUGCAAGUUUAUCCUAAGUGAUUCUUGGAGUAUAGUUGUUACAAACGUUUUGGUGAAAAGGAAUGGAGCAAGGAGUGCAGAAGAUAGUGGGAGUCAGCCACUACCUCGCUAUGCGAGCUAUGUGUCACGAAAUCAAGACGAAGUCAUAAGAAUCAACCACUUUCUACCAACGCGCCGCGGAUGUGAACCAAAGACCAAGGUGUUUGCAUUAUUUAUAAUUUGCAUCGUGGCACAACCUUCCUUAAUUUUUAAGGAAACUCAUGUAUAUAUAUAAGACACGCACCUGUGUUAGUGGUUUCAACAACGUCGAUGGAAGGCGGUGGCGGAGAGGAGGAAGGGGCGGUGGUGCAGGGGAAAAAGGAAGCGAUGUAGUCUAACACUCUUUGAGAGAAGAGCUGAUAGAUAGAGCGUUGUUUGUUUUUAAUUACUUAAAUAAAUGAUUAUAUUUUUAAUUUAAAAUCUCAACCCUUAGAUGUUUGUUUGCCAUAUGUCUUGCAUCUAACCCCUGAAUGGAGCAAGAUGUAAAUGGAGCAUACCUGGAAACAUAUACUUUGCAUGCAUUGUAUUUAGUCAAUACUGAUUAAAAAUGUAUUUAUAUUUUAUCAUAUAAUGUUGGGGCGUAUUUUGCUCCAACAACACAAACUACAUUGUUUUUAAAUUACAUAUAAAUAUUUUAGACUCAAAGAUAUGUUGAAUUAUAACACGCAAUAUCUGGGUUAGCAUCUAGUUAAACAUUAAUAAAUUAUACAAAAAUGUUUUAGAUAUGCGUAAAGACAGGAAAUGUUAAUCAACCAAAGUUCCAUUCAUAAUGUUUCAGUAGCAAUUCUCUUGAUAGUACCAAUAGAAAUUGCACAUAUUUUAGCAUAACUAUUUAGUACAUUGCAAUUGUUAAAGUUUAUUCUCCAAUUUCCAAACAGUUAUUAUUGAUAUUUUUGGUACAAGCGUUAUUAUAAAAGAUGGUUAUGUUGUAGUAAUUUGGUUUAGUAUUUUUCAGAGCGCACAUGAUAUUUUGCAACAAAUAGAAUGAGUUCCAUAAUGAAACCUACACACUCCUCUAGUUUGAAUUCAUGAGUGAUACUGCAACCAUGACUUAUGGAUCUAAGCACAUGUUAAAUGUGAGGAGAAAUAGCAACUUUAAAACUACUAAUAGUUUGGUUAAUGGUAUGGCCAAAAAGUAGAAACAUGAGAAACACCUCCCUUGACUUGGAAGACACUCGAAUAUCUACUACUAUCACUCAACUAUACUGUCCUAACUUCAAUCUUAAGGACAUUGUUGAUUUUAAUAGGGGUGAACAUGUGUCAUAUGAUCCAACAAUUAUGAAAAUAAAGCUAGUAGAAAAUGUUAUUUUAACCUUCUAUAUAUAUAACAGGGAGUAAUUAUCCAAAAAUCCUAACUCAAUCGACAAAAAUGUUAAAAUUGGUAGGUCGUACGUUACGAUCAAGGUUUGAAUCUCAACUCCUCCAUUUAUGUGUGUGUUCAUAAUACUAUUGUUAUUUUCUCUAUCUAUUAAAAAAAUAGCAAUGAUUGAUAAGCAAAGGGGAGAAAAAAAUUGAUGACAUUUCUCCUCUCUUCCUUUGAUAGUCUCUUGUAUUUUAGUAUUCUAGUAUUUAUAUUAUAUUCCACGAGUGGAUUAAUUUCAUCUUACUUUUAUAUCUGGUUUUAUUGUAAUUUCAUAUACUCUUUAUUUAAUCCAAAUUGCAUAAUAUCCAUCCAUUCAUUUCUCCACCGUUACCUUUUCAGUCGCAUAUAAAUCCCCAACCCUUACACAUGAUAUUAAAAAACUCCUUAUAGUUGACUAGUCCAUUACCAUCAACAUCAGCCUCUUUGAUAAUCUCAUUCACCUCUUCAUGGGUCACGUUUUUUCCAAGAGUUAUUAUGACAUGACGAAGCUCAGCUGCAGAGAAGAAACCAUCUUGGUCCUUGUCAAAAGCUGAGAUUUGUUUAUCAGUAAGUGGAUUAAUCAUUGGAGAAAGAUUUAUCUCUGCAAAAGAGAAAGAAGAUAAGAGGAGAAGGAUGUGUUUGUGAUAUCGAAUAUUUGGUGAAAUAUAAUUGAAUAUGCAUUAAAUUAUUCAAACAUAUGUAUUUAACUUAGAAAAAUAAAUUAUAGGCUAGAGAUUGAUUUACUUGGAAUAGGAGGCGGAGGAACAUGAAUAUCAGCUGCAACUAGAGAAAAGAUAAUAACAAAAAAAACAAGACAGAGAAAUAAAUACGAUUUUGAAUAAGGCAUAUCACUUUUUUACUAUGAAAUUGAAAUAAUUGAUAAAUAAUAAUAAUAAUAAUAAUGUAGUAGUACAUAUAUAUAGAUAAAAAAUAUGCCUUAUAUAUGGGGUCAAGAGUCAAGUGUAGUUAUUAUUAUAAAAAUUACAAACUAAAAUGUAAAAAACUUAUCUAUGUAGAGUCUGUUUUAUUUGCAUAUGAGAAAUUAUGAAAAAGUACAUUAUAAGACAAACAUAUAUAUAUAUAUAUAUAUAUAUAUAUAUAUAUAUAUAUAUAUAUAUAUAUAUGAAGAAAAAGGCGUACAUGAACUUCUUAAGUGACCCAUAGGAGGGAAGAUCGACACUUAGGCCAACAAGUGUUAUGGUGUACGGGUUAAUAAGAGGGAAACGUGCAUGUGGAAAUUUGAUUGAGUUUCUUCAUUUGAGGAAUUGAGAAGUAAUGCUUUGAUUGUGGGAGAAAAAGCUUCAAGUAAAGUGGCAAAACAUAAGAAAAUGCGUUAUGACAAUCAAAAGACUUUUAUACAAUUUAUGUUUGACACAUAAGAAAAUGUGUUCUGACAAUCAAGAGACUUCCACAAAUAGUUCAAAUGCUCAUGCAUAACAAUGUUGUCUCCUAAAUCUAUGGGUGAUAUUUAUAAUUAUAAAAAGCUAACGGGCAAUAUUUUACCUUAUUGCCUUAUAUAUAUAUAUAUAUAUAUAUAUCACAUUUCUUAUGUAGCCAGGCCACAUUACAACCCUUCAAAGACCUUGGUGAUCUAUGCUUUAAUAUUUUUCAAAAUUGUAUGCUUGGAUGAAUGCAUAACUUAAUCAAGAGGUUAAUAUGAUUGACUGAUGUCAGUUCAAGUCCCCACAUAUUGAUCAUAUUUCAUUAUCUACUUACAACUAAGUGUGUUAGGUGUGAUUCAUUAUUAAUUAUGUUGUUGGAUUGGAAUGCAUGAAUUAAAUUUUGAGUUUUGAAUAAAUUUCAAAUUCAUGAUUUUAUUUCAGAUUUGUGGUAAACAUAAGACUUGCCGGUACAAUUUAGUUGUGAAUCAUGCAUCUCAAAUUUGUUUCAAAAACCAAUUGACUCAUUGGAAAUCUUUGUGAAUCACUUUCUUGCAUUCAAUUACAUAUAUUUUUGAGGCAUUUUGUUUGAGUACAAACAAAGUUCAAAAUUAGGGAGAGUUGAUAAGUUCCGAAUUACUGUUAUUUUUCAUAGCACAUAUUGACUUGUUUUGCAAGAAAUCUAAAACAAACACCCCUAAUUUGAUAUAAAUAUCACUUAUAUCAGUAAGAUGUUCCUGAAAGCUAUUACGUCCUGCUUUAUACAAUUCUAUAUGUUUAAGACAAUUACUGGAUCAAUGUGGCAUAAAGGAAGGAAAGUACACGCGUCAGAGUUAUGCCAAAGUCUUAUAAAGACAUAUGGAGACAAUAACGACUCUCUAAGAGAGCAUAGUGAGGUGAAAGUGAUCCUAAAUAGAGGAUUAUAUAAGGAAAAGCCAAAGACGGUUUAAUGUUAAGUUGAGCAAGCAAAGUCGGUUUAAGGAAAAUAUCUAAAGGUUGUUUUUCCCUCCCUUAGCAUAUCUAUUAUUUCUUAACCCUCUAUAAAUAGAGGUGUAGGUCAUUUGUAAAUGUAAUCAACUUUUAAACCUAUAACACUAUAGUGAGAGAACGAGGGUAGAGAGUAGAUGAAGCCACUAGAAGACUGGAGAAUCUAAGAGAUAAGCUUGUUGAUGUUUCUCCAACAUUCAAUAACUCUCAUUUGUUAGUCAUGAAUACAUGGGUAAUUAAACUCUCUCUUUUGUUAGGAUUGGAUGUGAAUAGCUAGGAAUCUAUGUAGUACUCUCAUUUCUUAGUCUAAAUGAUUUAUGUUUUCAAUAUAAUUUUAGUCUAAAUAUGUUCUUAAUGAUUUGCCACCGAAGUAGUGUGCCGCAAUUGAUCUUUUUAUUGAGUCAAACCCUAGUAAGGCAGACUAUCAAAGGGACAUGGUUUAGAUUAUGUAUAAGUGACCCCGUCCGAGAGAUGGCAAGUAAGUCUAUAUUCAUGUAUAAAUUUUUGGUCAUACGCCAUAGAAACAAUUGUCUAUUUUGUCGUCGUGCAUUGGAAGUUAGUUGUUUCUAUUUUAUCUCGCAUAUUAACCUUAAUUGAAUACAUGAUGAGGAAAGGAUGGAGUUAUAUCAGAAGCAAAAAAAGUAUACAAUCUAAUAAGACCAAACAUACGAGAAAUAGCUAUUGAAAUUCAAACCCAGCCAAAAUCUAGCUAUAUUUAUUCAGUUUUACUUUGAUUCAAACCACUUAACAUCAGGGAUGGAGCUACGUAGUAUUGAAAUGGGGAGACUGCCACCGUUGUCACAUGGUGCAGUAUACUACCUCUCCAUAUAAGUAUAGUCUUCUCCACCCCAUCUAUGUAAAAAAUACAUUAACACCUUUUCUUUUCAUCAAAUAAUAACUUUUUUGCAAGUUUUUUAAUCAUAUAAUAAACCAAUAUAGUGAUUCUUUUUUAUAUAAAUUCAACUAACAAUAACCAACUUGUCAAUUCCUAAUUGCCGAUUCCUAUUUCCAUGCAAUAAUUAUUCGAAAAACUAAGUGUAUCGUCUCUUACAGAAACAGGCAAAUCACUUGACUCGUAAGCUUAAUUCAAUUGGAUUAGUAUGGGAGUUGUAUAAAUAUAUACAGAAAUUAGGGUUUGUACCUCAUACACCUAUUUAAAAGUUAAAUUCUAGUCCCUAAACUAUUUGACAAAAAAUCAAUAAGCAAAUCACUUCCACCUAACAUUAUUAUGUUAUGUUUUAAUUAUAAACCAUGCCAACUAUUUCAAUAAAUUAAUAGUAUAUAACCAUUCCGUAAAAAAACGAAGGAUGAUAUGAUCUUGAUGGCUACAUUUUUUUGAUGUAUCUUUUUUAUCAAGUAGUCUAGUCCAUGGUUAGAUUCAUACAUAGAAGUGGAGAAUUAGGAUUCGAUCUCUAACCCCGAUAAAUAAUGUUCAUUCAACUAAGUUAUAUUUAUCAAACAUUUUCUGAAGGGAAUUAACAUUUAUUUUAUGUAUCAGCUUUUGUAGCAUAUAUGAUCUUUUUUUUUGUUUUUCAUCAAACUAAAUUUUAUAUAAUUACUAGCGAAAAGACGGGCACUCACGUUCCCAUCUUUCAGCUCUUUUUAUUGCACUAAUAUUUGAAAAUUAUUAACCGUGUUUAUUUUAUGAAAUUUUGAUUUGGAUUAAAACUAAAAAUAUAAAUGUUUCUUGCUUUCAAGUGAUAGCAAACCAAACUAAUCAUGAUUAUUUAUUUCAAUCACACCAAGAAUAACAAAAAAAUAUAUAAUCUAAGUUCUUUUUUUAAUAACACCAACAAUGAUCUUUAUUAUAGAAAAAGUUGUUUAAGGGUAUAAUUGAGAUAAUGAAAAAGUAAGUAUAAAUAUAUUCAUCUAGUUUGUUGCACUUUUUAAAUGAUAAAGGAAAAAAAAUCGGAUAUAUUAUAUAUUCAUAUCGUGUUUGUUAUAUUUUUUUAAUAUUUAAAUUUAUUCUUAUCUAUUUGUUACAUGUGUUAUUUGUAUUUAAAAUUGAGUGCAUCUUUGAAAGAAAAAAUUCAUCCCAAAGGAGCUGAAAGAGUUGUUUUCUUUGUAUACGGUAUAUAUUAAGAGUAGAAGUUCGUUCAUAUUAUGUUAUAUAUCAUUUGCUAUAUUUUCGCCACCCUCCAUAUGAUUUUUCCUGGCUCCGCCCUGCUUAACAUGUUUAUAAACAACCACUUCUAAAAAAUAUUAUAUACAAAAUUAAAUUAACUAACCACGUCUCAAUGAUACAAUAUUUUAUUUGUUUGAUAAAACUGACAUAUUUACGAGAGAAACCAUCCGAUUUCCUCUGUUAUCGAUGACGAUGAAAACAUUUUUUUCCUCAAAUGUACCUAAAUUACUCAAUAACGUCAUCACAACUACAACCACUUGAUACGCAACCACCAUAUGAUAGUUUUUCAAAGAUGAUUGGGGAGAUCAAUGAGAUGGCGAAAAGCACCAUGCCUGUAUCGCCACCUAAACCACCCAAAUUUGACUUAUAGUCUCAUGGCCAAACCUCCAAAUCCACCCGUUGCCAAGUACGGAUUAAUGGUGAGUGACUCAGUUUCCCAUUAAUUGAGGAAACAAGUACUGCAAGAUCUAAACCGAACCUAGUAGAACUAUUCUCCCUGACCCUUGGUAAGGUAGAUGCUGAUAGAGUUGCUCAUUUGUAGAACUACCGAGUGGGAGAGUGUGCUAUGACCUAAGAUUCGUAGAUAGUAAAACCCGUUAGGAACACUGACCUUCAUUGCCUAUGGAAAUUUAUGAAUGUCAAGUUAAGUCUAUGUUUCAAUUACCUUUGAGGGAGUAAGACCCCCACACUAAAAAUCCUUACGAAGGUGGCGGAUCAUAUAGGAUUUAUAAUCCUAUACCUUAGCGUGCGUAUAACCUUAGUGUGGACCAGUAGGUGCAACUCAACAUUGAUAUACCGAAAUCAGACUCCGGACGUAAGGAUCACCGUGCGAUCAACAGGUGCUACAUGACGAAUCGAUUAGGUUAGAACGUCCCGAUUGACUCAUCACUUAGAUAGUCUACUUACGAUAACUAAAUGCAGCAUGAAUGUUAUUUAAUUCCAACAAAAACAUAGGGGGGAUUCAAAGAGUCCUAACUCUUACUUACUUUUCUGCAACCAAAAAAGGUAACUUGCUAUGUUACAAACAGAUAAAAAUUGCAAUCUCUUAUCCAUCAACUCUUUAUUUAUAUUUUGUUAAACCAAAUAAGUAACGCGAACUGUUUGGACGAAACAAAAAUCCAUGUGGAUACGAUACUCUACUUACACUUUAUUACUCGGUAAACGAUUUGGUACACUUACCUAAUCUGAACAUAAAUGUUGCAAUUUCCUAAUGAAGUUAUAUGAACUACAUUACUUGGCCUGUGGAAGUCCUGAUAUCAAGGAAGGAGAGCAAAGUAGAAACAUAUAUAGAUUGUUAAAGCUCGCCUACAGAUUAGUAACAGUUUAAUAAUUUCAGUCAAUUUUGUAUAUAUGCUUUAUCUUGUUUAACUGACUGAAAUUUUUAAGUUUCAUCAUGUCUAAGUUUAUGUGAAAGUUUUUAAAGAAAUGGUAGGUUGUACAUUUAAUUGAUUGCAAAACAUUUGUUGCCUAGCGAAAUACUAAAGUUUCCCCACACUUACUCAUAUUGAAACACACACACACCAAGGAGUAGAAACAUAUAUUGAUGGAGCUCAUAUGGAUAGACGUAACCAUUCUAAUCCUUGUGAAACAUACGGAAAGUUUCCUUAAGAUCUUUGUCGUUCAUCUUACAUGCGCGCUGCGAGGUUGAGGAAUUCGGAGAAAUCAAUGACACUAUUCCCGUCAGUGUCGAACUUAUUCAUCGUGGCCAGCAAGUCGAACUCAGUUGGGUUCUGGCCGAGCGACCACAUUAGAGUCCCAAAUUCCUUGGCAGAAAUACAACCAUCUCCAUCCUUAUCGAAGAGGUUGAAAGCCUUCUUAAACUCUGAAACUUGUUUGUCAUUGAGUUGAUCGUCCAUUGGAGGAAGAUUUGGUUCUGCAGAAGCAAAAAGAGAAGAGGAGAAUGAUUUGUAUGUUUUUUUAGAAAGGAGUUUCUAUGAUGCAUUCACUAUUUGCUCUCAUUGUUCAAUAUGAUCCGUACCCAAAAUUUAGAAUGGAGUUUAUAGGAUGGAUUCAUAAAUUGAAUCGUUUAGGUGUGUUUGUUUCUGUGGAAAAAACUUCUUUUUUUCUAGGGAGGAAAAAAAUCAUUUUUAUGAAUUACAGAACUAUUAAUCGACUUGUGUAAUUUAGGAGAUAUCAUUUUAUAAUAAAAAAAAGAAAAAAAAACAUGUAAAAAAUUUCAAUAUUCUCUAUUAUUAGUAAAUAAAAUCUGAAAACAUUAAAUGUUAUAUAGCUAACGCUUUUAGUAAAUAAUACUUAUCUAUUAUAGUCUACACUUAUCAUGCGUGGUUGCAACAUCCUUUAUAUUGUCUGGGCAUUACCGUAAUUGUUUUAGCUGUCUCGCAGCAGCUUGCCUUUGUUUCCGGUUAUGCUUCUUUACAUACAUAAAUUUGAAAUACAAAAAUAAAUUAUAGGCUAGAAUGACUCACCAAUGGUAAGAGUCAGUGGAACAUAACUAUCGGCUAAAAUUUGAGAAGAGGAAAUGACAUAAAGACCAAAACCAAGAAACAAAUAUAAUUUUGAGUGAUCCAUAUCACUUCUAGGCGGUGACAGUGCAAUGGUUGAUAAAUAAUAAUGUAGUAGUUUGUGAUAUAUAUAUAUAUAUAUAUAUAUAUAUAUAUAUAUAUAUAUAUAUAUAUAUAUAUAUAUAUAUAUAAUGCAAGAAGUUGACCUGUUUAUAGGGCCAAGAGUCAAGUUUAAAUUUAAAUUUAAAUUAAGGCAAAGUAUGUGGCUAAAAAACCUUUUGAAAGGAUGUAAAUAUUAAUUAAAAAAUUACAGUUGAAAACGUAACACAUAUUUAUAUAGAGCCUCUAAAUUUGUGUUUUAGAUUGGGUCAAGACUAAUUUUCUCUUUGGAUUUGGUCCUCCCAAGUCACUGAUUUAGAAACAGACUAUAACAUAGUCUUGUCCUAAAUGUAUUGGAUAAGGAUCGCCUAAGGUAAUGUUGACCGUUCAUUCUAGAAUCAAGGUCAACAUUAUCUAAUCUCUGCAUUAGUGUCCUUUGAGAUAGUUGUUUGAGAUAAAGUUUGAAGGGACCCAAAACCCUAAUUCGCCACUAUAUAAAGGUUAACUUGUGCUCUCUACCUAUGUCCAAACAAUUCUAUUCUAACAACCACACACAUUCAUUGCAGUUUUACUCGAUCGUUAGAGUGUAUGCCCCCCCCCCCACACACACACACACACACACACACACAUCCAUAAAGGAAAGAUUUGUUUUCAAGUCUGUCAAUCUGAACACAUCCACAGUCAUUGGUGAUGAAAUUGGCAAGUGCAACAAAUCAUACGCAAGUAAUAAAGUAGUAAGUUAUGUCUCCACUGAGAUUGUCGUUAAAAUCAGUAAUUAGUGGAAUUUAUUAGAAAUAAAAUAAUUUAAUAAGAGAUGAAGUUCGUUUGCAGGGUUUUACAUGUCCUUCUCAAUGCGAGAUUAGGUUUUGUGAUUCAUAAUUAUAAUGACGAUUAGGGAAUCCUUGAAUCCCCCCUUCCAUCUUUCUUGGAAUUAAUUUGGUUGAUUGUUAGUUUAUGACCUGUCUUUCGAAUUAAGAACGGAGGACAUGGCCUUGUGAUGUAUCAAUAGAAUUUUUAGUUUCAUAUCGCCGCAAUUCAACCAGUUACAAUUGUGAUGUUCCCUUAAGAUGAGUCAUAGCCCUAAAUUCAUACUUAGAUUCAAUGAAAAGAAUUUUAUUUUGAAAAUAAGCAAUUUACUACUGUCUGGUUUGGACAAAUUUAGGGUUGUCUAUCCUAAUAUUCUCCAUCUAAGAUAUGGUAUAGAAACGGACAUAUACAAAUUAAAUCAGACACUUGAAUCAUAAACUGAAUAAAAAAAUUAUUAAUUGAAUCCCAAAAAUAAGAAGAGGUUCAUCAUGGAACCUUGAUCAAAGAGGUUUAGUUGCACAUGGCAACUGACAUCAUUACCAAACAAUAGAAAAAAAAAUUCCCUAGAGAGAACAAGAGGAAGAUGGAGAUCCUUUGCCUUGAAGCUCUUAUGCUUGACCCUUGCAUUGUGCCGCUAGCUUUCUGAAUGAAUAAAUGAAUGUACAAGGGUCUCUAUUUAUAGUUCAUCAUUACUUAGGGGUUCGGAGAAGAAAACUAGGCUUUUUCCACCGAUUCAUCUUGAAAAAUAAGCAAACAAUAGUUCUUCCCACAAGCCACGUGUGGGGUGCAUGAUACAACAUUCAGGGGUGUAUUAGGUAUAUUCUGUCUUGAAAUGCCUUGGAACUUAAAAUGAAUAUUCUUUAACUUAUAUUGUCUUCAAAGACCUUCGAUGAACCAUUGAUCUUCAAUCUUCAUAUCCUUGAUACUUCAUGUGAUGUCUUGUUUCGACGAUUUACAAGAUUUCUCACUAACAAGACCCAAAACUCAUAUGAAGUUGUAUGAUUUAGGAUAAAACUGAAUUACAACGACUCAAAUGAAAAUAAUACAAAAUGUUCCUCAAACCAUUGACAACUCCUCUAAAUGACCUCUUAUUUUCCUUCAAAUGCAAAUAAAAUAAAUAAAAAUAUAGUCAAAAAUAUCAUAUGAUAUCCCAUCAUCAGUCAUGCUCAGGUCGUACCUCUCUAGUCCCAUUGGACUAUUUGGCAUCGUCUGUGGGAAACUUUCCUAUGUUUCAUCACCAAAUAUUUCAUGAUAUCUAAUGGUCAACACUCGAUUUCUAGUAAUAAUCAGCUCUUUUGUUGGCAACACCUAGCCCCAUUAGAUUGACAAAAGAACAAUUUUGUCAUCACCUCCAAACUAAAAUUGAAACUAACCCCGUGAUGGAUCCAUGACGAUUCUACCUUCACAUUUGAUCCCAGACAUAGUGUCCUAUAACCUAGAUAACCAAUAGACUCCUCCCUUUAAAGGAGGCUACCAAACUAACAAUCUCAUCUGAUACAUUCUAGAUGCAAUUCAACAAUCAUCAAAGAUAAUUGUAGCCCAAGGUAAGUGACAGGUCUGCGCUAAGAACAGGAAGAUGCAUAUCCCCCACUAAUAAGGUUAAUUAGAAAUCGCACGCACACCAAAAACACACUAGAACAUGGACCGUUGGCGAAAAGACACGACAUUUUUUGUCCCCGAAAGAUUUAAAGUCUAAGACCCCCAUCAUCGUCCACCGUCCUAGUCCCCUCAACGCCAUAAUGUUAAAUACUAUAUGAAACCUCCAACCCUCCCUCCCCUCGCUCCUAUGGGGCAUGGAGUUUGUUGUAAUGAUGAAAAUUCUCCAUUGAGACGUUCCUAUUGCAGGUCAUUAUCUUAUGAGAUUUCCUCGUAUGAAGAUGAUCUCCCUUAGAAGAAUUUAUUUCACCGCGAUAAUCAAUGAUUACCUGGUGCCUAGAUAUCUUCAGAAGUUCUUCCCACUGUAAUUAUACAAUGGAAUAACAGGCCCAUACAACAAUUUUGAAACGGUUAACAUGUUGUCAUUUUGCAAUGCCUAGGGUCCAUUGAAGUGCAAGUUUUUCUUAUUGACAAUAAGAGAGUGUACAAUGGCUUGGUUCAAAGGCUUAAGACCAUUAUCUAGUAAUUUUUGGUUGAAAUUUGUACACGUUUCACGACCCGCCUCACCACCUCCUAAAGGCAACCCAAGUCAGCGGAAAACCUUACAACAAUAUGUUAGAAGAAAUAUGAAACCUUGAGAGCAUACAUUGAGAGAUUAAACAAAAAAAAAGUACAAGUGAGUAAUGUUGAUGAAAUGAUGAAGACCUAUCUUUUGAGACAAACAUUCUUGAUGGGAAACAACUGCCCAAAGAUUAUUGCCCUCAAUAAGAAAGAAGUCGUGACGAGCGGCAAAGCCCAAGUCUUGAUUAUCAACUGCUUGUGUAUGUAUAAUUGUUUGGCGGGACGCCCACAUUAGUCAGACUUUGUGUCGUCUCAUCAGCCGUGCAUCUCAUUUGACUUCGAAAUAAUUGUAUCAUGAUAUUUAAGAUAAGACAUACUUUUGAAAAAGAGUUUAGUCUUGAAGAGUGAGAGACUAAGAACUUAUAUUGUUUUUCAAUCCACUUUCCUCCAUUUUCAUUAUCCUCGGAUCAAUUUUUUUAAAACAAGCAUCGUACAAUUAGAGUUAUGCACUAAGAAGUUUAUAGUUUAAAUUCUAAUUAUUUAGAAAAUUAAAUACUCUCAUAAAUUUUAUUUAUUUUAAAUAUUUUCGUUUAAUGAACUUACAAGCCUACUAGUUUUUUUGUUUACAAUCAAAAAUUGAUGUGAUUUCAAGUGGUGUAACAAGCAACAUGAUAUUUUACUAUUAUAUCAUAAAAUUCAAACAAAUAUAUCAUAAAAACUCGUCUCUUCUUCAAAAUGGUUUUUGGUAAUUCUUCAAGACAUCCUUGUGUACACUACGGGUGGAGGGUGGAACUUUUCUUGGGUGAAGAUCAAUAGCGGUGUCUGAGCAGAAUUAGGCAUGUUCUUGGGAUGUGUUGGGGGCAGAAUGCCACGUUGCAAUUUUCCUCUUCUUUUGUGUGCCCUUGUUUGGAUGUGUCUUGGUUGUUGUUGGUUGGUUCAGAGCUUUGGUUUUACUUUGUUUUAGUCCCUUUCGUUUCUCAGUCUUUUUUGUAGUUUUUUCCAUUAGAAAUGAGGGAAGAAAGUUAUAUUUUCAAAGACUAAAUAUAUACUCCUUCCGUUUCAAAAUAUAAACAGAAUUCAUUUUUUAGGUUCAUUCAUUUAAUGAUGUAAACGAGGGAAGAAAGUUAUAUUUUCAAAGACUAAAUAUAUACUCCUUCCGUUUCAAAAUAUAAACAGAAUUCACUUUUUAGGUUCAUUCAUUUAAUGAUGUAUGUGGUUUAUAAUAUGGAGGGAGUAUUUGAUUUCCUAAACUAUAUAACUUUUAAGUAAACAAAAAAAUAGGAUGGAAAGUAAAAUACAAAUGGAUGGUCAGACAAAAGUCACUCGGACUACUUAAACAAAGGGACUGAGAAAACAAGUAUAGAACUAAUAAUGAGUAGAAGCAAUAAUUAAAGCAAACAAGCCAACCAAAAAAAAACUAAUGACCACAAAUAAAACAUCUAAUAAUAGAAAUAGAACAACGGUUCUCAUCAAAACUUGUUUAACGUGUCAAUUUUAUAUGUUCAUGUGCUUUUUCAAAUUUUUGGUUGGUCCCUUUGCUUUAUGACCUUGGGUUAGAGGUGCAUAUUGCCCAACAAAAUUUUAAAUUUUUUUCCGUCAAAAAAUUGCAUGAUUUAGUCAUCCAAAAUAUCUCUAUUUAUAUAAAUAGUCGAUGUUGCUUCAGCUUUUAAAAUUUUAAAUAAUUGUUGUAGCUAUACCUAGAAUAUUAUAUUAAAAUAUAUCACCAGUCUAGUUCUGUAAGGACUAAAUAUUAUUUAAUCCAUUAUAAUUUCUAACACUUAGAAAUUGAAAGAGUAAUUUUAGCCAUAAUAGUUAUCCUAUUAUGGUUAUAGACUCCAAAAGGAAAUGGAAAAAAAAUAAGAAGGGGAUGGGAGUGUUGAAAUUUGGGGCCUAACUCAUCCUUACAAAACCGGCUUGUGAGGUGAGGAUUGCCUCAUCUUUAUAAACUUUUCUCAAGAGUCUUGUCUAUCCGAUGUGAGACUUAGGUUGUUCUCAAUACACCCCCCCUCACGGAUCAGUAAGGAGAAUCAGGGGGACUGUCCACAUCGAGGCUAGAACAACCAGACAAGCAAGAGAGACGCCACUCUUACCCAAAACCUUAAGGCUAUGAGUUUAUGAGUCCUCUUACUUAUAAGGUGUUCAACCUUUACUUUUCUAUCCAAUGUGGGACAUAUAACUCACACUUGCACAUAACACUCCGCCUCAAGUGUGAGUCCAUCUAUUCAUCAUGCUCCCCAUCAAAUGGAAGCUCAUACUUGCUUGUAUCGUCGUUGCUGGUUUCUCCGCAACGGACCGACACUGUACCGUCGUUGCUGGUUUCUCCGCAACGGACCGGCUACCUUUGUCGAACUGGGGUUUUGAUACCAUAUUGAAAUUUGGGGCCUAACUCAUCCUUACAAAACCAGCAUAUAAGGUGAGGAUUGUCUCCUCCUUAUAAACUCUUCUCAAGAGUCUUGUCUAUCCGAUGUGGGACUUGAGAUUUUUCCAAUACAAAUGAUUCUUCUCCAAUUUUGAUAUGCUGAUUUUGUAUAGUAUUAAUUUGUAAUACCAAAAUUUUUUGUUGCUGUGUGUUGGAAAAGGAAAUAUACUUUUGAGUGUUGCAAUUAGUAUUAGUAAUUUUAGAAUGAAAAAAAUUAUGAAUUUCGUAAAAUCACUGCUUCAAAUUAAGCUUUUCCAAUAACCAAAUCUCAAAGAUUAUUACCAUUUCGUUACCCUAAUUCGACAAAUCAAUUGUUUUUUUCAUCACAAUACCGUGUUUGUUUCGUUCAAUUUAUCUUUGUAUGCAUUGAGAAUUUGAGAUAAUUGGGGUGCAUGAUGAAGAGAGAGAAGAGAAAAGAAGAAUGGCGUCUACGAUUUCUCUAAAGGCAAAGGGAAAGAGCUCAAAUAAGAAAGCAGAAGAUCGAUCAGCGAUCGAUUCUUUGAAGGAAUGGACAACAUGGGGUAUUAAGAAAACGAAGGUUAUCGCUCACUAUGGUUUCAUUCCUUUGAUUAUCAUCAUCGGUAUGAACUCUGAUCCAAAACCACAACUCUCCCAGCUUCUCAGCCCCAAGUAAUUGACGUGCGCAUUUUCACUUGCUUUAUCUGAUGGGGUUGUGUUAGGCCCAACCACGAUUUCUAACAUGGUAUCAGAGCUUGUCGAAUUAAAGGGCCGCCUAAACCUAUUCACGAACCAAGUCCAAAGAGUGUUGGUCGUGAGGGGGUGUAUUGAGAAAAACCCAAGUCCCACAUUGGAUAAACAAGACUCUGGAGAAGAGUUUAUAAAGAGGAGGCAAUCCUUAGCCUACAAGCCGGUUUCGUAAGGAUGAGUUAGGCCCCAAAUUUCAACAGAAAUAAAUGAAAGAGUUACAAAAACAAAAAAAACAUAUAUGGGAAAUGUCACAAAAGAAAUUUUUUUUUUAUAUAUAUAUAUAAUUUGCAUCUUAAUGACAACAACAUCAGAAUAGCUAAGUGGUAGAACUUAAUAUGCACAAUCAUAAGGUCAUGUGUUUGAUCCGCUCCUGGACAAAUCUUUGACAAACUCCUCAAUGUUUAUUUGUCCAUCACCAUCAAAAUCAGCCUCACGAACAAAUUCUUCCACAUCUUCAUAUGUCACCUUUUGGCCGAUAUAUGUCAUAAAAUAAUGCAACUCAGAUGUAGAGACAAAACCAUUCUGAUCCUUGUCACACAUAUGGAAAACUGCCACAAAAUUUUCAUUAUCAAUAAAACCAUCUUCAUCCUUAUCGAUGAGGCUGAAAUACGCCUUUAUCUUUGAUAUUUGAUUGUGAUUGAGUUGAUCGGCCAUUGAAGGAAGAUUGGGUUCUGCAAAAGUGCAAAGAGAAGAUGAGAAUGAUUUGUAUGUGUAAUUUGAAAAAUCCAUUUUCUAAAAUAACAACACAAAUAUCUAAAGGUGCAAUACAAAUGUGUAACGUGAAAAAUCCGUUUACUCUAACACCUUAUGACACGUAAUAGAGCUCGACAUUGAUGGUUUGUUACUCUGUAACCAAGCUUAUAAAACGACCCCUUCAGCACAAAAGCAAAGUACACGCAAUGUAUACUAAAAACUAUCAUUUUUUGCACUCAUACUGAUUUGAAUGUCGAAAUAUUUACAUGUACCCCUAACUUAAAUUUUGACGGUUGUUAUUGUCGGACGCCAUCAUUAUGGUAAAAAAGGAUCAAGCAUAUUUUUCUUUUUUAAGUUAUAUGUUUCACUUUAGCUAUAUUAAAUUUGUUGUCAUACUCCUUUUUCUUCUCUUUCAUCUCCCACCGGCCACCAACCCUUUUAUCCCUCCAUGACAACCCUAAGACCUGGAGACUUCUUGUUUUUCCGCAUAAAGUACUAGUAGAAUUAAAAAGAUCCUUAUUUGGGUCGUUGAUUGAUUUAUGAGAUUUCUUUCUAAUCAAUGAGGCAAAAUAGCUUUAGAUAAUAUCCAAUCACCAUAAUUAUGAUUGUUAGUAGGCGCAAUAUGAUCCAUGCUAAAAAUCUGCUCAGAAGUUUCUACGAUACAUCCACAAAUUGAAUCAUUUUGGUAUAUUUAUUUAGGAAAUAAAAAAGAAGCAAAAUAGGGUGAUAAUUAUAUGCACAUGUAAAACUUAUUUAAUAUUAAAUUCUUUACAUAUAUGGAUUUGGCAUAAAAAAAAAAAAAAUUUAUAGGCUAGAAUGACUCACCAACAGUAAGCAUUGGUGAAACAUGAAUAUCAGCUAAAGCUUGAGAAGAGAGAAAAACAAAAAGAUUAAGACCAAGAAACAAAUAAGAUUUUGAGUAAACCAUGUCACUUCUUGAUGAUGAUAUUGCAAUGGUUGAUAAUAAAUAAUAAUGUAGUAAUUUGUAUGUGUGUGUGUGUAUAUAUAUAUAUAUGGAAAGAAGUUGCUCUGUUUAUAGGACCAAGAGUCAAGUUGAAGUUUAAAUUUAAAUUAAUGCAAAACAUGUGGCUAAAAAAUCUUCUGAAAGGAUGUGAAUAUUAAUUUAGAAAUAACAGUAUAAAAUGCAAUAUUUAUUUAUACACUCUUUUAUUUGAGUUCUUGAUUGGGUAAAGACCCAUUUUCCCUAUGGAAUCUUUUGCUUUAAAAUAACAAAUUAAGAUGAUUAGAGCUUAUUCGAGAUAUCAAUUAUCAUCAAACAAUAUUUCCAGUACUUGAUUAAAAUAAAGUUAUUUUCUUAUUUUAUUGAUAACUAAUGUGUAAUUUGUUAUUUUUCACAAAUGAUUGGGACUUUCGAGGGGAGAGCAAUGGAGGGUUUAUAAAAAAUGAAAGGAAGAAGUGGAAAGAAUGGAGAGCUAUAAGAGUGGAAGGCUUUGUGGGGUUUAGUUUUCUUCGUAAUACAAAAUUCCCCUAAUUUGGGGGAACUAAAAAUUUGUAUUGAAGGAGGGUUUUGGGGGAUUUGGAUAAGUUUUUCAAAUCUAAUCUAUGUUGUUAUAAUACUUUAAAGUUUAAAGUGAAAAAUACAUUAAUCAUAAGUAUUUAUUUACAAUUCUCUACAAAACUACUCACUCCAAAAAUUUAAAAGAUUUUUCUAUUUUUUCCUCUAAUCUCAUCCCUCAAAAACCAUUUUCUUCCCUUCCCCUUCAAACUUCCAAACAGAGUCUAAGAGCGGCAAAGCACAAGUCUUGGUAGUCACCUGCUUGUCUAUGUAUAAUUGUAUGGUGGGACGCCCACUUUAGCCGAACUUUGUGUCGUCUUGUCAGUCAUGCAUUUUAUUUGACUACGAAAUAAUUGUAUCAUGAUAUUUUAGAUAGCACAUAAUUAUAUUGUUUUUCAAUCAACCGUCCAACAUUUUUCUUUGUCCUCGGAUCAAUUUUUUAAAAUCAAGCAUUGUACAAUUCGAGUUAUGCAUUCGUAGUGUAUAGUUUAAGCUCUAAAUUUUUAAAAAAUUAAAUGCUCUUAUAAAAAAAAAUUACUUUAAAUAUUUUGGUUUAAUGAACUUACAGGCCUACUAAUCUUUUGUUUUCAAUCAAAAAAUAAUGUGAUUUCAAGUGGUGUAAAGGGCAACAUGAUGUUUUACUAUUACAUCAUAAAAUUCAAACAAAUACAUCAUAAAAUUCGUGUCUCUUCUUCAAAAUGGUUUUUGGUAAUUCGUCAAGACAUCCUUGUAUGCACCAUGGGUGGAGGGUGGAACUGUUCUUGUGUUAAGAUCAAUAACGGUGUGUGAGCAGGAUUAGGUGUAACACCCCGUUUUUCCCAACUUAAAAAUUUCAUAACAAUUAUCAGAGUAUUCAACAUAUAAACGGAAUGCUACACUUCUUAAAAUUCAUAAAUGGAAUAAAUAACAAUAUGUCCUUCAUAAUUCAAUCAACAAAAAUAUUAAAAACUUCGCAGCGGAUUUAAUUCAAAACAUAAUUAGUCUUGGCACGAAGGCCUCAUCAAAACAUCUCAUAAAAAUCCAAACUAAAUCAUAGUCAUGUAAAAUCAUAAGCAAUACGUAAGGAAUAGAAAAUAGCCACAAAAGUUCCCAUCUCGUUAUGUAUCAGAGCACCUAAAGACACAGUGAGAGAUAGCCACUCACGACAGCAAUCAACAGCUACUUAUUCUCGAUCACCUGCAAGUUACUCAUACGAAGAGCAACAUUUUCAAGCAGAAGAGGUGAGAUUUCACAAACAAUAAUAUUAAGCAUAUAAUUCAACAAUUAAAUUUAACAACAUAAACUUUAUUAAUUAAUAAUAAUAAUUCUUCAUAUAGUGCUUCAUUAAUAGUCUAAUCGACUUCUAAUCACCAUUAGCUCAUAACAAAUAUAAACAACAACAUAAUCAUUAUCUUAUAAUCAUAUAAACAACACUACAUAAAUAUUUCAUGGUUAGUCAUCAACAACAACUUCAACAAUUCGACGAUGACAACGUCAACCUGACAAUACAACUACAUGAGAGUACACCACCUCUUAUAAAACAACAACGUAAGAGUACAUCACCUCUUAUAAAACACCAGAACAUAAACAGUCACUAACAACAGCUUCAACUACGACUUCAACAACUUAGAUAAUAUCAACAACUUAAGACUCCAAUACUUUGGAACAUUUUGGAAAGACAACUUACAACUUUACAACUUAGACCAACAUCAACAACUUGAUCAAUAUUCAACAGCAACAGAAACAGUACAAGUCAUUCACAACAUAAUAAUAUUCAUGAAAAGCAUCAACAACAUAAACAUCAUACAUUUUCCACAUAAGGCAUAUAAAUAUUUCACAUAACCAACAUCAACAACAUAGGCAGCACGUAAACAUCUCAAGAUAUAACAACAUCAAAUGAUAAUCAACAUCAACUUAAACAUCUUAUAUAAUUCACAAAUGCAUAUACAAAUUUAUUACAUUACUAUCAUCAUUAAAUCAUAUUGUAACAGCUUCACUGAUCAUCAGUAAUAUUAUAUUCAACCUCAAUUCCUACCCGAAGGAUCAACUCAUAACAUCUCAUGCGACAAAGAUCGCAAAACCCUGAACAAGGUAUUCUGUCUUACAGGAGCUCGCGAGGCGAGGGACAUUACUCGCUAUGGCGAGUUCAGAAAUUUGGCUAUUCGCCUUGGCAAGUAAGCUGCUCGCCUUGGCGAACAAGAAAUGGUUGCUCUCGGGAAUUUGACUUUUUUUCACCUAAAAAUCCAUUUUUAAACUUUCCCAAGUUCAAUCUCAAUCUAAAAACUUGCCUAAUCAUUAUUAUACAUAUUCAGACACUCAAAAUCAUCUAAAUUUCGACUUAAGGAGCUAAAUCACAAAAUCACAAAAUCAUGUUUCCUCACUGGUCAAACUCGCUAUGGCGAGUGAUCUGCUCGCUAUGGCGAGCUGCAAGGUGCAACUCGCGAGGCGAAGAAAAGUUGCUCGCGAGGCGAGCAAUGGAGUUCAUCACUCGCUAUGGUGAGGAUCAUCCCUCGGGAGGCGAGCGAUGAAUGUUCGCUUGGGCAGAAUUGCAAUUUUGACGAAAAUUCACCUAAUCACAUGGUUCAAACCUUAAAACCGGUUCCUUUAAUCAUCCUAUGGAUUAUCUAAGGUCUGUACACAGUUUCUAAAUCAAUCUAACAAUUCUACAUCAAUUAAUCGUCAAUUCCUCACUUUAACCUAAUUCUCCAACUCUCUAAAAUUAAUUCUACACUUGUUAAAUUUAAUCAUCAGAAUUACAGACUCAAUAUAAUUGAAUGCUAGUCUCACCCUUACCUUAAGAAAAUCGAUCAGCAACACUCUCUUGGUUCUUCCCUCUUCUCGUUCUCCCUUUUCUCCAAAACUGGUUGUACGUGAAAAUAAUUCUAAACCUAGUUUUUCCUAUUUAUUUCCUCCCAUCUAUUUUAUCUUAUUUCCACACAACUCUCCUUAAUUCCAAAUCAGCCCCUUGAACUCCAAAUAUUCUAAAUUCCCACUUAUUCAUUAAAUAGUAAAAUAACUCAUUUAAUAAAAUAUAACACACCGCAUAAUCAACAUAAUUAUAUAAAAUCAUAUGUAAAAAGACUUUAAAUCAACCAAUAAUAAUUAAAUAAAAUUGGGGCGUUACAUUAAGCAUGUUCUAGUGAUGUGUUGGGGGCACGAUGCCACGUUGCAAUUUUCCUCUUCUUGUGUGUGCUCUUGGUUGUUGCUGGUUGGUUCAGAGCUUUGGUUUGACUUUGUUUUAGUUCCUUUGGUUUCUCUGUCUUUUUUGUAGUUUUUUCCAUUAGUUUUUCUCUUUUUUGUAUUGUUAUGUUGAUCUUUAAGCACUUCUUCUAUCGCAUAUCCUUAUUACCUUCUCUUAUGUAUAUAUUUGUUAUUCAAGAAGAGGGAAGAAAAAUAUAUUUUCAAAGAUUAGAUAUAUAUUUGAUUUCAAUGUAAACAAAGGGAUGAAAAGUGAAAGUUAUAUUUGAUUUCCUAAACUAUAUAACUUUGAAGUCAACAAAAAAAUUAAGAUGAAAAGUGAAGUGCAAAUGGAUGGUGAGACAAAAGUCACUCAGACUACUUAAACCAAGGGACAGAAAACAAGUAGAGAUCUAAUAAUCAGGAGAAGCAAUAAUUAAAGUAAACAAGCCAACCAACAAAAAACUAAUGACCCCAAAUAAGACAUCUUAUAAUCGAAAUAAAACAAUAAGUUUAACAAGUCCAUUUUAUAUGUUCAUGUGCUUUUUCAAAUUUUUUGUUGGACCCUUCACUUUAUCAUCACAUCUAGUGGCAUAUCCAUGACCCUGGAUCUAUGGGUUCAUACUUUUUCGUCCAACAAAAUUUUAAAUUUUUCUACGUAAAGACAUCACACAUUUUAUUCAUCCAAAAUAUCUCUAUUUACAUAAACAUAUAGUCGAUGUUGCUUCAACUUUUAGAAUUUUAUAUAAUUUUUGUUACUAUAUCUAGAAUAUUAUAUUAAAAUAUAUGAUCAUAUAGUUUUGUAAGGACUAAAACACUACACCAUUUGUUGUCUCUGGCAACACUUUUUUAGAGGACGUGCAAAAAUUGUCCCCUAAAAGUCCCUAAGGCAAUGUUUUAUGAAAAAAGAAAAAAGAGAGCCCACUCAAUUAGAAAUGUUUUUUGAAACUCGAAAAGGAAGUAGAGGAAAGCAAUUGGAUGAAGAAACUGGAAAAGUAUUUGUAUGUAAAAAAUUACAGUUACGUUAAAUUGUGUUUACUUAAUAUUGUUGGCAAACAUUGUUUAUAAUAUUAGUUAAUGUUUUCUUGAAUUUUUUUUUUUGCUCCCAACUUCAAGAAAUGGAUGAAAAGAAAGGAAGUGAUACUGAAGCUUUUAAAGCUGUUAUGGGAAAGGAGCGUCCUGGCAGGUUACGUUGUUAUGGGAGAAAAAUAACUAAAACUUCCUUAAAGCGAAAGGUUGAGAUUAAUGCUUUGAAUCAAGCACAUAGUCAAGAGGUAUCUACUUUAAGGCAUGAAUUUCAAGAUCAGAUUGAUAGAUUGCAAAAUGUGUUUAAGACCGUCAUACAACAAUGCAAUCCUCAAUUAAAUAUGGACUCAAUAGAACAUUUGCUAGGAUUAUCUCAUGGAGAUGCUAACAGCUCCCCAAAGGAUAGUAGAGCACAAAUGCAUUCCUCUACUUCCAUUCAUACUCCAUGUCCUGAAAAGGUAACCAUAUAUAUAAAUAUUAUUGAUUAUGUUAUUGUAAUUGAGUUAAACUAGUUAUAUUUUGCUUGUUAAUAUAUGCAAAAAGUUGUUAGUAAUGAUAUCACUUGGAAUGUAGGCAAGUGUCUGAAAUUGUUAACUUGCGUAUGUUGGGUCUAAAUUAGAGCUGUGCGAACUUAUGAUUAUGUUGUUUGGCUGAAUUGCUUAAAAUGCAUGUCCAAAGUCGGAUUUUGAUUGUGUUGCAGAAUUUUAUGCAUAAAUUUUGUUUAUGCAAUUUGUGGUGUUUGUGCAAACUUGUGAUUUAUUUUUCUGCAUUUUGUGUUUGUUUCUCUGUUGCAUAACAUGGCAUAAGUUGCAGAAACUUAAAAAUGAGCUUGUAAUGAUAGAAUAAGGAAGGGAAAUGUGUAAAAAAGGUUUCCUAUUUGCGGCUAUGUUGACUGUGUUUUACUUGUUGUUUUGGUUUUUAUUUGUGCGAGGUACAACACUUGUUGAUGUCUUUGAUUGGCCUUUGAACCAACAAUAUCUAUGGUUGAUGUAUUUUGUUCUUAUGCAGCAAGCUAUCAAUGAAGAUGUUGUACAGGAUGACAUAGUUGAGGAGGAAGACGUAGAUGAUGAAUUUCUUGAGGACGAAUUUCUUGAGGACAACUUAAGUGAUGAAUUUCAAGAGGAUGAUAUAGAUAAUGAAUUUCAAGAGGAUGACCUAGAUGAUGAAUUUCAAGAGGAUGACCUAGAUGAUAAAAUUCAAGAGAAUGACAUCGGUGAUGAAUUUGAAGUGGACGAUUUGGCUGAUGAAUUACAAGAUAAACUUGAAUGAUUGAGUUGGAUGGUGUUUUAUUUUGGAUUGUAGUUAAGCCACAUUUUGGAUUGUAGUUAAACCACUAAACUUGUCCGAACUAUAGUUUUGUUAUUUUGUUAGGCUUAUACUUCGAAGCAUUAAACUUAUCAAGUAAUGUUUGACAUUUUGAUUACUAUUAUGUCUUGAAUUAAUGUUUGAACUAUGUUAUUAUAUUACAUCUUUUGUGGUUGUAUUGUUAAAUUCGAUCUUGUUUGAGUUAUAAUUGACAAUUCUAAUAUUGUCUUUAAGCUAUAGUUACAUUUCUAAAAUAAUUGAAAAAUUCUAAAAUUUUACAAGGACACUCUAAAAAUGUUGCUUGUAAGUUAUGGGGACGUUUUUAUAAUUUCUUAAAAGAUUCAAAUUUUAGGGGACGAUUAUUAAUUGAAGCAACCUAUGGGAACAUUUAAAAACGUCCCCUCAGAAUCCCCAAAAAAUUGUCUCAUAUUCCUAAGGUUUAGGCGACGUUUUCAAAAACUGUGCCCAAAGAACAUGAAAAAACGUCCCCAUAGACUAUAGGCGACGCUCGUAUAGGAGACGCCGAGAAAACGUCCCCUAUACCUUUAGGGGACGUUUUUCUUAGUUCUGGCAACAUUUUUCGAUUGUUAGGCUUAAUUGCACUUUUGGACCCCUAUCUUUCCAAAAGUUGUGGUUAUGGCCCCCUAACUAAUUUAAAUACAAAACAACCCCCUAUAUUUUGAUUCUUUGGCAGUUUUGGACCCCCAGUCCAUUAGUGAGGUGCCACGUGUAUUAUUUAGGGGGUCACGUGGCACCUCACUAAUGGAUUGGGGGUCCAAAACUGCAAAAAAAAAAUCAAAACAUAGGGGCAUGUUUUGUAUUUAAAUUAGUUAGGGGGCCAUAACCGCAACUUUUGAAAAGAUAGAGGUCUAAAAGUGCAAUUAAGCCUUGUUGUUAAAAAGGAUAAAUGGUGUAGUGAAAGUUAUGUAAUCCAUUAUAAUUUCUAGCAGUUUGAAAUUGAAAGAGUAAUUUUAUCCAUAAUAGAUAGAAAACUAUCAUGGCUAUAAUCUCCAAAUAGAAAGGGAAAAAAAUAAAAGAAGGGGAAAGAGAAAAAUGAAAGAGUUACAAAAAAGCAUAUAUGAAAAAUGUCUCAAAAGAAAGAAAAAAAAAACAAAUAUGAAGCUAUAUAAAAUUUCCGUCAUGUCAUGUUUUCCAAAUGACAACAACAUCGCUAAACAGUAGAACUUAAUAUGCACCAUCAUAAGGUCAUGUCAUGUUUUCGAUCCUUGGUUCUGCUUUUUGGAAUUUUCAUUAGAAAGAAAAACCAAACUUAAAACUAAGUUGUAAGGAUUUUGGGGGUGUAAGUCCAAAAUCUAUAACCUUAAUAUUGGGGUCAAAAUGUAAAAAAAUAAAAAAUAAGAUUAUUGGUGCAAAUUUUCAAAACCCAGGGUGUGCAUGUACUUAUGAAGUCCAGAUACUCCAAAUUGGAGACAUACAUGUGUCGAAUGCGAAUGUAUAUGAUUAAAUUUAAGAUAUGAAUCGCUAUAAUUGUAUUUCGAUUAACCAAAUAAAAAUUAUAUUUUUGGUGGAUAAAAGUACCAAGAGAGAAAGGAUAUUCAAUCAAUCAACAUUAAAUAAACUUUGUUUAUAGUUUUUUUAUUGAUGUAUUUGUUGAUAUCCAAACUUAUGAAUGAAAAUAAAAUAUAAUUUUUACGUAGACUUUACAACUUUUAUUUUGAUCAUGUAUUAUUUUUCGUAAAUCGUGACUUUUAUGAUUAUAUAGUAUUGAAGAGUAAUUAAUUCUUAUUUUUUUAUCAAAUAUUUUGCAUGUAUUUAAUUUUUAGUAUAAAUAUUUUGUUAACGUAUCUUAGUUGUAUCGUAUCCUGAAUUUUAAAAAUAUCAUGCAUCCGCGUACCCGUAUUGUAUCGCACUCGUACAACGUAUUCGGGCUUCAUAGAUAAGUGCAAACCUUCACUCCACAGUGAAUCUGCCAAGUCUGACAAACUCCUUAAAGCUUAGAUGUCCAUCACUAUCAGAAUCAGCCUCACGAACAAAGUCGCUCACUUCUUCAUUGGUCGCCUUAAUGCCUUGAUUUGUCAAGUAAUAAUGCAACUCAGAUGCAGUGACAAAACCAUUAUGAUCCGUGUUAGGCUUAGAGAAAGCUAUGAGAAGCUCUUCUUUGGUGAAGUCAAUGGUACCAUUUCCGUCAGUGGCAGACUUAUUCCUCGCUACCAUCAAGCCGAAAUCAGUUGGGUUUAGGCCAGUAGACCGUAUUAGAGUGUCAAGUUCUUCAUUAUCAAUAGAAACAUCUCCAUCCUUAUCGAUGAGGCUGAAAUACGCCUUUAUCUUUGAGAUUUGCUUGUCAUUGAGUUGAUCGGCCAUUGAAGGAAGAUUGGGUUCUGCAAAAGUACAAAGAGAAGAUGAUAAUGAUUUGUGUGUGUAAUGUGAAAAAUCCAUUUCCUAAAAUAACUACACAAAUAUCUAAAUGGUGCAAUACAAAUGUGUGUAAAGUGAAAAAUCCAUUUGCUCCUUAACACCUCAUGACAUGUAACAGUUAGAGCUCGACAUUCAUGGUUUGUUACUCUGUAACCAAGUAUAUAAAAAGCCCCUUUAGCACAGAACAAAAGUACACACAAUAUAAACUAAAAACUCUCAUUUUUUGCACUUAUACUUACUUGAAUGUCUAAAUAUUUACAUGUACCCCCUAACUUACAUUUCGACGGUCGUUAUUGUCAGACGCCAUCAUUAUGGUCAAAAAAGAUCAUGCAUAAUUUCCUUUUUUGAGUUAUAUGUUUCACUUUAGCUAUAUUAAAUUUGUUGUCCUACUCCUUUCUCUUCUCUGACAUCUCCCACCGGCCACCAACCCUUCUACCCCUCCAUGACAAUCCGAAGACCUUGAGACUUCUUGUUUCUAUCACUUAAAGUGCUGCUAGAAUUAAAAAGAUCCUUAUGUGGGUCGUUGAUUGAUUUAUGAAAUUUCUUUCUAAUCAAUGAGGCAAAAUAGUUUUAGCUAAUCUCCAAUCACCAGAAUUAUGAUUGUUAGUAGGCACAAUAUGUCCCAUGCCCAAAAUUUACAUAUAAGUUUCUACGAUACAUUCACAAAUUAAAUCAUUUAGGUAUAUUUGUUUUUUAGGAAACAAAAAAGAAGCAUAAUAGUGUGAUAAUUAUAUGCACGUGAAAAACAAUUUUUUUUUUUUUUUUUUUAUAAAAUGCACGUGAAAAACUUGUUUAACUUGUUCAAAGAUUAAUAUUAAAUUCUUUACAUAUAUGAAUUGGACAUAUAAAAAAACUUAUAGGCUAGAAUGACUCACCGACAGUAAGCGUCGGUGGAACAUGAAUAUCAGCUAAAACUUGUGAAGAGAGAAAAACAAAAAGAUUAAUACUAAGAAACAAAUAUGAUUUUGAGUAAGCCAUGUCACGUCUUGGUGAUGAUAUUGCAAUGGUUGAUAAUAAAUAAUAAUGUAGUAAUUCGUUUGUGUGUGUAUAUAUGGAAAGAAGUUGCUCUGUUUAUAGGGCCAAGAGUCAUGUUGAAGUUUAAAUUUAAAUUAAUGCAAAACUUGUGGCUAAAAAACCUUAUGAAAGGAUAUGAAUAUUAAUUUAGAAAUAACAGUUUUUUUUUUUUUUAUCAAAACACUAAAAUAUAAAAGACAGGAGAUGUCUGAACUAAUACAACAGAAUGACAAAGGAGAACCUAUGAAACGAAAACUAGAAAGCUUAUGACCAUUAUUGACCAUACCAACUGCUACAAGACUACUAUCCCAAAGUUUGUUUAAAAUGAUUGAUAUUUCUAGUUAUUUUAUUGCAACAACAAAAAACACAUUAUUCUAAGGCUGCCAAGUCAAUUUUGGAGGUGCCCUUUUGAGCACGGGUCCUUAUUUCAGCUGAGUUAAAUCAAGCAGACUUCACUUUUCUCACAGGCUUCUUCUAAUUUUUCUCUGCCUUAAUGCUCUCAUAUAGGCUUGGAUAGUGCUGCUCAAAGUAUGAUACAAUGGGUUCAACAUGGUCCUCUUCCACUGUGACGGCAUAGCCGUAGGAGUGAGCACCAUAGUGUUAGCCCACUUUUGAAAAACCUUUGGAUCCACAUUCUUGUUAGAAGACAUCAAUGCAUCUGAGAUGUGAUCAUAAUCCUCUUCUACCUCAUCCCCCAAAAUUUGGAAAGAAUCUGCACACUCUUUAGGGUUGUAGUGUAACGCCCUAUUUUAUUAUUUAUUUAUUUUAUUAAGUUUAGAGUCUUUUUUUAUAAUUUAAUCAAUUUAUUUUGAUAAGUGAUAUUUUUGUUGUGUAUGAUAUUUAUUAGUAGCCCCUAUUUUAUUAUUUAGUGGAGAAAUAUAAUUUAAAUAGAUUAAUGAGGCAUAAGGACAUAAUUGGAAUAAGGGAGAAUGUGUUAGGAGAGAUUAAGUGAGAAACAAACACAGUUAGUGAUUAUAAAUAUAUGAGACCAUUAGAGAAUUAGGGUUACAACAGAAUAGAGAGUCAGAAUACAGAAUACGUAGAAACUGCUUUUGGGAGAAAAAGGGAGAAAGUGAGAAGUUAGAUAAGAGAAGAGGAGAAAACUUGUAAAGUCCAAAUUCAAUCUAAGGUAAGGGUGGGACUAACCUUCUUUAAUCAUAAGUAUAUAGUUCUGAAAAAGGGUUUAAGCUUGUAGUUGUUAAUAGUUUUGAUGUUAUAGAAAUUAGGUUUUGAUUUGGAAUUGAUUGUUAAAAAAGUAGAUAAUUCAAUAAAUUAGUGUACAAAUUCAUGUUUUGGUCCAAGUUUUAUAUGGUUUUGAGUGCCUUUUCAUGUUUAGAAAUGUUUAGACGAGUUUCGGGAUCAAAUUUGGGCAUAGGGAAGUUAAAAAUGGGAUUUUUUGGUGAAAAAUGUCAAGUUCCCGAGAGAUAUCAGAUUGAGCUCGCCAUGGCGGAUGACCUAUUCGCCUGGCGAAAUGUUCAGUGACAGACUGCCUUGUUUCACGUUCUUGCGUCUGUUUCACACGUUUCUGUUUUGAGUUGGUCUUCGGUGUAAACAUGAAAGUUGUUGAUAAUUGUGUUAUCUUUCCAGUAUUCUUGAUUUGAUGUGAAUAUCUUUGUUGGAUGAUUUAAUAUUUAUUAUAUGUAUAUGUUGAUGAAUUUGAUGUUAUAUGAUGUUGUUCAUGAUUGAUGAAUUAUUAUAUGAAUGUAUAAGUUGAUGAAUAUGAUGUCAUUCAAGAUUGAUGAACUAUUAUAUGAAUGUAUAUGUUGAUGAAUAUGAUUUUAUAUGAUGUUGUUCAUGAUUGGUGAAUUAUUAUAUGAAUGUAUAUGUUGAUGAAUAUGAUGUUAUAUGAUGUUGUUCAUGAUUGCUAAAUUAUGAAGUCAUAAUGCGAAGUCGUUGUUGUUGUUGUUGUUGUUGCAUUGGUAGUGUCAAUGCAUAAUCAUUUUAAACGAAGAGGGCUUGAUGCUCUGUUAAUUUUAAGCGAAGAGGGCUUGAUGCUCUGUUAUUUAAUCGAAGGGAACUUGAUGCUCUGUUGUAGGGAGCUUGAUGCUCUGAUGGUACGACAUGCAUAUUAGCAUCUCUUGAGUUGUUAUUGUUGCAUUGUUGAGUUGUUGUUGUUGCAUUGCGGAGUUGUUGUUGUUGUUGUCACAUUGUUGUUGUUGUUAUUAUUGCAUUGUUAAAAUGAAGAUAAUUGAUGAAUUGUUGAUUGGAAUUAUGUGAAGCAUUGUUGAUGAUGAUUUGCUGUUGUUUUGUGUUGAUAAAUUCUUUUACAUUAUUGUUUAUUAGUGUUGUUAAUGAUGAAUUGAGGUUGUUAUGUGUUGUUAAAUUCUUUUAUAGAAUUAUAUGCUUAUUAUUAUUGAAUUUGAAAUUUCACUCAUUCUGUUUGAAUGUUGCCUCUACGUGGGUAAUGUGCAGAUAACCAGGAGUAAUCGCUGAUGUGAGUUGAUUCUCGUGUCGUCCUAGGAGUCGCUCUGAUACGUACGGGAUGGGGAUUAGCUUUAUUUAUUUUCCAUUAUUAUGUAUUCUUUUUAUGAAUUUAUUGUUGAACAUUUUUUAGAUGAAAUUAAUUAUAUUGAUGAUGUUGAUGUUAGUUUGUUUUUAAUUCAAGUUUAGUUUUAGUGAUAAUCACAAUCAGUGGUUAAUCACAGUUUGUUUUAGUUUGUUAUGAAGUUUGUUACAAGUUUGUUAGAGGUUAGCAGAUAAGAUCUAGAGUUUGUUACAUUGCUUGUGCUUCAAGCAACUUAGCUAGAUAUUGUAUAUAAGCUACCUCCUUUGUACAUUUUUGUAUAUAGAAUCAAUAAAGAUCAUUUACAAUUUCAUCAUAACUUUCUUCUCUCUCAAUUCUCUCUCUAAUUCACAUAAAACCUUAGAAUCAGAAACUGCUUCUGAACUGCUUCUGAACAGUGCUUCUGAACAGAGCUUCUGAACAAGCUUCCGCUUCUGGUUUUUCUGCGCUAUCAAAUUGGCAUCAAGAGCCUUUGGUUUCGUUCUAAGGGGUAAUCAAGAUCUUCAAUCACGCAAUUUAUAGAAAGAAACGCUGAAGGAAACACCAUGAAUGGUAGCAGCAGUUUCAACACACAUCUUCCAAUUCUUGAAGCACGUAAUUGGGAAAGAUGGAGUGCAGCGAUGAAGAAUCUGUUUGGAGCACAAGAUUUGCUUGAAAUUGUGCAGAAUGGUGUAGAUGAAUUAGCUGCGAAUGCCACUGAAGUGCAAAGGAACGCACACAAGGAAUUGAAGAA